GGCCGGGUGAGGCGGCCCGCCCCCCAGUGGCGCAUAGCCUGCAUCUGUUUGUAAUUGAGUAUGCGGACGAAAAUCCGCGUGUCGGUGGUUCGAUUCCGCUCCUGGCCACCA
rnacentral:tRNA from 1 species